rnacentral:rRNA from 1 species
GCUCAAAUUUGAAAUCUUAAAGGGUUUCCCUUUACGAAUUGUAGUUUAAAGAAGUGUUUUCUGUUGAGGUUUUGGUAAAAGUUCUUUGGAAUAGGACAUCAUAGAGGGUGAGAAUCCCGUACUUGACCUUUACUUUCAACUUUGUGAUACACUUUCAAAGAGUCGGAUUGUUUGGGAAUGCAGUCCAAAAUGGGUGGUAAAUUUCAUCUAAAGCUAAAUAUUGGCGAGAGACCGAUAGGGAACAAGUACCGUGAGGGAAAGAUGAAAAGAACUUUGAAAAGAGAGUUAAACAGUACGUGAAAUUGUCAAAAGGGAAGCGUUUGACACCAGUGUUGUUUUUCUGAAAAUCAAUUAAAGAACUGUUUAUGCUAAGCUGUUUAGACUUUACCAGCUAUCUGUUUAGUUUUGAGCUUUUCUUUAAUGCACUUUUCAGUUAACAAG